CAGCAGCCGCGGUAAUACCAGCUCUCCGAGUGGUGGGGAUGUUUAUUGGGCCUGAAGCAUCCGUAGCCAGCUGAGCAAGUCCCCAGUUAAAUCCAGCGAUUUAAUCGUUGGACUGCUGAGGAUACUGUCCGGCUUGGGGGUGAGAGAGGCCGACGGUAUUCCCGGGGUAGGGGUGAAAUCCUAUAAUCCCGGGAGGACCACCAGUGGCGAAGGCUGUCGGCUAGAACAUGCCCGACGGUGAGGGAUGAAAGCUGGGGGAGCGAACCGGAUUAGAUACCCCGGUAGUCUGUCUCUUAUACAC
rnacentral:rRNA from 1 species